UAGGUUGAUGCUGUAGGCUGACCUCAGCACCGUGCAGGCCACGGGGCCCAUUGCCCAGUUGUUCUGCUCGUUGUAGAUGAUGAGCGGCAGAGCCAACACGAAGAUCAGGUCUGCCACGGCCACGUUGAAGAGGUAGACGUCCGUCAUGGUCUUGGCUCUCUUGUAGAACAUGUAGGUGGCGAUUACCAGGGUGUUGCCCAUCAGACCACAGGCACAGAUGAUGGAGUGGAUGUACGUCUCGGUGAGGACGUCCACAGGGUUGGGGUCCAGGUUGCAGGGCUCAAACAUUUCGAAAAAAGCCGGCGUUCUAGUUCAGCUCUACCUCUGGGUGUGAAUGACCUUAUUUCAAAAAGUGAAUGCACUGGAGGCAGUGGGUUUGCUUUGUGCUUUGUCUGAUCCCAGAAGCUGAUAAGAUCUGUAUCGUGAAGGAUCUGAGAUGUGUCUCUGAGCAUCAGUCAGUGUACAGAGGUCACUAAAAUGUAUCAGGUUCACAAGAGAGGUGCACAGAUCUUUGAUUUUUUUCUGACGAUUCUCACAGGAAAUUACCGUUUCUUUAAUUAAAACAUUUUAGUUUACUCGUGCUGUGUUCUCCAAUGUUGCCUAUACCCAAGUUUAAAUAAAGUAAAAACACAAAAAAAAUGUUUUUGAUGAAUCCUGCAUUUAAAGUUUGACUCCAUGUAAAAGUACCAGCAAUAAAAAUGUACCUAUAUAUUA